UUGGGGGCAAGUCUGGUGCCAGCAGCCGCGGUAAUUCCAGCUCCAAUAGCGUAUAUUAAAGUUGUUGCAGUUAAAAAGCUCGUAGUUGAAUUUCGGGAUCAGCAGGUUGGUCGUGCCACUGGUAUGCACUGGCUUUGCUGGUUCCUCCUUUCUGAAGAACUGUAAUGCCAUUAAUUUGGUGUUGCAGGGAAACAGGACUGUUACUUUGAAAAAAUUAGAGUGUUUAAAGCAGGCUAACGCUUGAAUACAUUAGCAUGGAAUAAUGAAAUAGGACGUUCGAUCCUAUUUUGUUGGUUUCUAGGAUUGACGUAAUGAUUAAUAGGGAUAGUUGGG
rnacentral:misc_RNA from 1 species